GUCUACAGCCAUGCCACCCUAAACAGCCCAAUCCUGUCUGAUCUCGGAAGCUAAGCAGGGUCUGGCCUGGUUAGUACUUGGAUAGGAGACCACCUAGGAAGACCAGGUGCUGUAGGCA
rnacentral:rRNA from 1 species